GACGAACGCUGGCGGUGUGCUUAACACAUGCAAGUGGUGCGACGAACCAGAGCUUGCUCUGGGGCAAAGCCGCGAACGGGUGAGUAACACGUGGGUAAUCUACCCCGAUGACCGGGACAACCCGAGGAAACUCGGGCUAAUACCGGAUGUGGUACGGAGACAUAAGUCUCUUUACUAAAGGUAGCUUCGGCUUCCGCAUUGGGAGGGGCCCGCGGCCCAUUAGCUAGUUGGUGGGGUCAAGGCCUACCAAGGCAACGAUGGGUAGCUGGUCUGAGAGGACGAUCGGCCACACUGGGACUGAGACACGGCCCAGACUCCUACGGGAGGCAGCAGUGGGGAAUCUUGCGCAAUGCGCGAAAGCGUGACGCAGCAACACCGCGUGAGGGAAGACGGCCUUAGGGUUGUAAACCUCUUUCAGAUGGGACGAAGGUGAUGCGGUGAAUAGCCGAUGUCAUUGACGGUACCGUCAGAAGAAGCUCCGGCUAACUACGUGCCAGCAGCCGCGGUAA
rnacentral:rRNA from 1 species